rnacentral:rRNA from 1 species
UACGGAGGGUGCGAGCGUUGUCCGGAAUCACUGGGCGUAAAGGGCGCGUAGGCGGCGCGGAUAGUCGGCGGUGAAAGCCCGGAGCUCAACUCCGGGUCGGCCGUCGAUACUCCGGGCUUGAGCACUGUAGAGGCAGAUGGAAUUCCGGGUGUAGCGGUGGAAUGCGUAGAGAUCCGGAAGAACACCGGUGGCGAAGGCGGUCUGCUGGG